rnacentral:rRNA from 1 species
CGAGCACGCGCGUGUGGCAUAUCAAUAAGCGGAGGAAAAGAAACUAACAAGGAUUCCCUUAGUAACGGCGAGUGAAGCGAGAAGAGCUCAAAUUUGAAAUCUUCAAGGUUUUACCUUGACGAAUUGUAGUUUAAAGAAGUGUUUUCUGUUGAAGUUUUGGUAAAAGUUCUUUGGAAUAGGACAUCAUAGAGGGUGAGAAUCCCGUAUUUGACCAUUAUUUUCAGCUGUGUGAUACACUUUCAAAGAGUCGGAUUGUUUGGGAAUGCAGUCCAAAAUGGGUGGUAAAUUUCAUCUAAAGCUAAAUACUGGCGAGAGACCGAUAGCGAACAAGUACCGUGAGGGAAAGAUGAAAAGAACUUUGAAAAGAGAGUUAAACAGUACGUGAAAUUGUCAAAAGGGAAGCGUUUGACACCAGUGUUGUUUUCUCGAAAAUCAAUUAAAAAUGGCAGGAUUUUGUGUUGUAUUGACUUUAAUCAAGCUUUCUCACUCUUUUUCUUGUCUUUUUUAAUGCACUUUUCGUUUAACAAGUCAACAUCAGUUUCUUUUGUUGUAAAAGGGUCAUUGGAAGGUGGCUUUCUUUUCGGAGAAAGUGUUUAUAGCCUUUGCUCUCUGCAAUCGGAGAGAUUGAGGUCUGCAGCGUAGAUCCUUCGGGGUUAAAUACAUUUGUGCUAAGCUAUAGCUUUUUAUAGACAACUUGUUGACUAUAUUUAGUCUUGUGGCUUACUCGCUUAUGCUAUUUUACCUACGCUUAGGAUGUUGAGUCAUCACACAUCUCU